rnacentral:tRNA from 7 species
GGGGCUGUAGCUCAGUUGGGAGAGCGCUUGAAUGGCAUUCAAGAGGUCAAGAGUUCAAUUCUCUUCAGCUCCACCA